AUGGAUCGAGGUUGGAUGAGUAAACCAAGAUCAACUACUGAUUAUAAAGAAGGUGUCGAGCAAUUUCUAUCUUUUGCCUUCCAUGAUGUUCCACUCGGUGAUAAAAUUCUCUGUCCCUGUGUAAAUUGUGGAAAUAAGGCAACGCAGAAUUACGACGAAGUGAAAACCCACCUAAGAUGUGAUGGUAUUCUUCAGGGUUAUACAAAAUGGGUUUGCCAUGGAGAAGAGUAUGAUUCACCGUCAUUUGCAUUUGCUCCCAUGUCAAAUAACAACAACGAUUUUCAUAUUCCGGGUUUUCCAGUGAAUUCUGAUGUAGAAGGCAGUAAUAGAAGAUUGCAUGACAUUUCUGGGCUCUUAAGUGCCAUUUUCCCCAUGGCUGACAGCUUCCAAUCACUAUCAAGCGCAUCUGAUGGGGAACUAGAUGGUGUUCAGUCUGAAUUUGAGAACUUGGAACCUGGUAUGGCUGAGAAUGUCAAUACAACAUCUGCAGAUGAUGAUGCAAUGAGAGAACAAGACAUAUACGCUAGUUUCCUCGAGGAAGCAAACACAGAUUUAUACCCUGGAUGUGCAACAUAUUCGAGGUUGUCAUUUCUUGUCACUUUAUAUCACAUGAAAGUCUUGCAUGGAUGGUCACAGGAAUCAUUCACACAGCUACUUGGUGUAUUAUCGGUUGCAUUUCCUCAGAUAAACCUACCCAAGAAAUAUUAUGAGGUGAAAAAAAUCAUACGCGGAUUAGGGCUGGACUAUGAGAAAAUUCAUGCAUGCCCAAGAGACUGCAUGCUUUUUAGAGGUGAAAGAGCUAACCAGGAGUCUUGCCAUGUGUGUGGUGCCUCUCGUUGGCUUACCAAUGAAAAUGAGAAGAAAGAUUCGGCAACUGAAUCUAAGAAGAAGAAGAAGAAGAAACCAGCCAAGGUGUUGCGAUAUUUCCCAUUGAUUCCAAGGCUCCAAAGGUUAUUUGCAACCAAGAAGACAUCAACUGACAUGCGUUGGCAUGAUGAGGGUCGUACAAAAGAUGGAUUGCUGCGAUGUCCAGCUGAUGGAGAGGCUUGGAAAGAUCUUGAUGCCAGAUAUCCUAAAUUCGCUGAGGAUCCCCGUAAUGCGCGGCUAGGCGUUGGGUCUGAUGGGUUUAAUCCUUUCCGACUCAUGAGUGCAAAACAUAGUACUUGGCCAGUGAUGCUUAUUCCAUACAACCUACCACCUUGGAUCUGCAUGAAGCAAACAUCUCUAAUUUUAUCAAUGAUUAUUCCUGGACCAAGUUCCCCUGGCAAUGAUAUUGAUGUAUAUUUGCAGCCGUUGGUGGAUGAGCUGCAACAUCUUUGGAAGGGUGUGGACACUUUUGAUUCAUGUACCCAGGAGAAAUUUUCUCUUCGAGCUGCACUAUUAUGGACUUUGAACGAUUUUCCAGCAUUAGCUUACCUCUAUGGGUGGAGCACGAGCGGUAAAUAUGCUUGCCCGUCUUGUGGUCCUUUUACAAGAUCAUAUUGGCUAAAGAAGAGUAAGAAAUUUUGUUAUAUGGGUCAUCGCCGAUGGCUAACACAGAAUCAUGUAUUUCGGAGACGAAAGAAGGAGUUUGAUAACACCGAAGAGAUGGAACUUGCACCUAUAUCAAUGAGUGGUAGCUCAGCUUUGAGAAUGUUGCAGGGCAGAGUGUUUGUCUUAGGAAAAAAGGUUGUUGUGGCAAAGAAAGGGAAAGGGAAAAAGAAGGGCAAAGACAGUGAAAAAGGAAUUGAAGGUUCUGAAAAACAGAAGUGUAAAAGAGCGCCUAACAAGAAAUCAGGUAACGUCGCACGUAAACCUGAAAAGAAGCCUGAGGAUUGUUUCAAAAAGAAGUCGAUAUUCUUUGAUUUGGAAUACUGGGAGCACAACAAGUUACGGCACAAUCUAGAUGUAAUGCAUAUUGAGAAAAAUGUCUUCUAA
rnacentral:rRNA from 1 species